rnacentral:rRNA from 1 species
AUUGAACGCUGGCGGCAGGCCUAACACAUGCAAGUCGAACGAGUGGCGGACGGGUGAGUAAUGUCUGGGAAACUGCCUGAUGGAGGGGGAUAACUACUGGAAACGGUAGCUAAUACCGCAUACCAUCGGAUGUGCCCAGAUGGGAGUAGCUAGUAGGUGGGGUAACGGCUCACCUGGGCGACGACCCCUAGCUGGUCUGAGAGGAUGACGAGCCACACUGGAACUGAGACACGGUCCAGACUCCUACGGGAGGCAGCAGUGGGGAAUAUUGGACAAUGGGCGCAAGCCUGAUGCAGCCAUGCCGCGUGGAUGAAGAAGGCCUUCGGGUUGUAAAGUACUUUCAGCGGGGAGGCGUUAACCGCAGAAGAGGCACCGGCUAACGCCGUGCCAGCCGCCGCAGUAAUAC